UCCCCGGUCUUCCCCUCCAUUCCAAAAGGAGUGUCAGCUGUUAAGGGCACCGUUCGCUCUUUCAGAAUUUGGCUGAGGAGCUGAGGUUUGUGUACAACCUGAGCUUGAUGAAAAAUUAAGGAAUGGGAUGUGGUAACAUGACUGUAGAUAUCACCAGCUAUAUUUUCAUAUAUACUUCAGGAUUUGCAGCCUUACACACUUGGCAGUCUGAGAUGAUUCUCAGCUCUAAAUGAGACCUUCAGGCUCCUCUUCCAAAGUCUGGGAAGAGUCAGAUACUGUGGAAGGGACUCCUGAGAUACUGUCAGAGCUGGAACCUGUGAAAAGUGAACCAUGAAUAAAAUGAAGCUUGGGAUGGAA